rnacentral:rRNA from 1 species
AUUGAACGCUGGCGGCAGGCCUAACACAUGCAAGUCGAGCGGAUGAAGGGAGCUUGCUCCUGGAUUCAGCGGCGGACGGGUGAGUAAUGCCUAGGAAUCUGCCUGGUAGUGGGGGAUAACGUCCGGAAACGGGCGCUAAUACCGCAUACGUCCUGAGGGAGAAAGUGGGGGAUCUUCGGACCUCACGCUAUCAGAUGAGCCUAGGUCGGAGUAGCUAGUUGGUGGGGUAAAGGCCUACCAAGGCGACGAUCCGUAACUGGUCUGAGAGGACGAUCAGUCACACUGGAACUGAGACACGGUCAAGACUACUACGGGAGGCAGCAGUGGGGAAUAUUGGACAAUGGGCGAAAGCCUGAUCCAGCCAUGCCGCGUGUGUGAAGAAGGUCUUCGGAUUGUAAAGCACUUUAAGUUGGGAGGAAGGGCAGUAAGUUAAUACCUUGCUGUUUUGACGUUACCAACAGAAUAAGCACCGGCUAACUUCGUG